UACAGAGGUCUCAAGCGUUGUUCGGAUUCAUUGGGCGUAAAGGGUGCGUAGGCGGCGCGGUAAGUCGGAUGCGAAAUCUCGGAGCUUAACUUCGAAACUGCAUUCGAUACUGCCGUGCUUGAGGACUGGAGAGGAGACUGGAAUUUACGGUGUAGCGGUGAAAUGCGUAGAUAUCGUAAGGAAGACCAGUGGCGAAGGCGGGUCUCUGGACAGUUCCUGACGCUGAGGCACGAAGGUCAGGGGAGCAAACGGG
rnacentral:rRNA from 1 species